rnacentral:rRNA from 1 species
UACGUAGGGUGCAAGCGUUAAUCGGAAUUACUGGGCGUAAAGCGUGCGCAGCGGUUUUGUAAGUCUGUCGUGAAAUCCCCGGGCUCAACCUGGGAAUGGCGAUGGAGACUGCAAGGCUAGAAUCUGGCAGAGGGGGGGUAGAAUUCCACGUGUAGCAGUGAAAUGCGUAGAGAUGUAGAGGAACACCGAUGGCGAAGGCAGCCCCCUGGGUCAAGAUUGACGCUCAUGCACGAAAGCGUGGGGAGCAAACAGG